CGGCGCCACGCCCCACGCCGCGCCCCGCCGCGCCGUCAGCCGCUCCCCCUAAAACGGCUGCACCGAAACCCGCGGCUCGUGCUCCUCUCGAUAAACAGAGCAAAGAUCUCGCCAACAAGCGCAUCACUGCCAAAGCCGCACCCCCGAGGACUACCACUGCAAAGGCACCGGGCGCCGUGAAGAGCGUCCCCAAGCUGAGCGUGAAGAAAGCCGUAGACAAGAAGCCGUUGGCCGAGAAGCCGCUGAACGGUGCUGACGAGCCGCUGAAGGCUCCGCCCAGUCCGCCCGCCGACAACGCGCUCCUACCCGACGUCAUCGCGUAGACACUACUAUACCGAUUCCUAUUAUUUUCCGCUUGAAUUUUGUGAUUUUCUAUAAGUGUAUAAUAGUUUUAAAAGCCGCUCGUGGCGGCGAGACGUUAGGUGCGGGAGUCGUCUCCCAUUUUAUAUUAUAGAGUCGCUUUUGAUAGAUGUGUACGUUGCCGGUUCGUUGCGCGCGGGCGACGGCCGCGUCGGUCCGAAUGGUCCGGUUAGAUACGGUCGGUUCGGUCCGAUCCGGUCCGACGCGGCCCGGCCCAAAACGGUUAUUAUCCACUAUUAUGAGUCUGGUUAGAAUUUUUAUAUUACCAACGAAUGAUUGAUUUUAAAA